AGCGAACGUUAGCGGCGGGCUUAACACAUGCAAGUCGAGCGAGAAAGGGGCUUCGGCCCUGAGUACAGCGGCGGACGGGUGAAUAACACGUAGGUAACCUUCCUUUCAGCGGGGGACAACGGUCCGAAAGGACCGCUAAUACCGCAUACGUUCCCUGGGACCUCGGUCCUGGGGAGGAAAGGCCCGCAAGGGCCACUGGAUGAGGGGCCUGCGUAGCAUCAGCUAGUUGGUGGGGUAAUGGCCUACCAAGGCGAAGACGCUUAGCUGGUCUGAGAGGAUGAUCAGCCACACUGGGACUGAGACACGGCCCAGACUCCUACGGGAGGCAGCAGUGGGGAAUAUUGGACAAUGGGCGCAAGCCUGAUCCAGCCACGCCGCGUGAGUGAUGAAGGCCUCGGGUCGUAAAGCUCUGUGGGGAGGGACGAACGGCGCCAUGAAGAGUGGCGAUUGACGGUACCUCCUUAGCAAGCACCGGCUAACUUCGUGCCAGCAGCCGCGGUAA
rnacentral:rRNA from 1 species